rnacentral:rRNA from 1 species
GAUGAACGCUGGCGGCGUGCCUAACACAUGCAAGUCGAACGAAGCACUUUAAAUAGAUUUCUUCGGAAUGAAGUCUUUUGUGACUUAGUGGCGGACGGGUGAGUAACGCGUGGGUAACCUGCCCAGUACUGGGGGACAACAGUUGGAAACGACUGCUAAUACCGCAUAAGCCUACGGUGUCGCAUGACACAGUAGGAAAAAUUCAAGGGGUACUGGAUGGGCCCGCGUCUGAUUAGCUAGUUGGUAAGGUAAUGGCUUACCAAGGCGACGAUCAGUAGCCGGCUUGAGAUAGUGAACGGCCACAUUGUGACUGCGACACGGCCCAAACUCCUACGGGAUGCAGCAGUGGGGAAUAUUGCACAAUGGGGGAAACCCUGAUGCAGCAACGCCGCGUGAGUGAAGAAGUAUUUCGGUAUGUAAAGCUCUAUCAACAGGGAAGAUAAUGACGGUACCUGACUAAGAAGCACCGGCUAAAUACGUGCCAGCCGCCGCGGUAACAC